UGAACUUGAGAGUAACUCGAGGCAGAGAGGC
rnacentral:piRNA from 1 species